GAUGAACGCUGGCGGCGUGCCUAAUACAUGCAAGUCGAGCGAACGGAUAAGGAGCUUGCUCCUUUGGAGUUAGCGGCGGACGGGUGAGUAACACGUGGGUAACCUACCUAUAAGACUGGAAUAACUUCGGGAAACCGGAGCUAAUGCCGGAUAACAUUUGGAACUGCAUGGUUCUAAAGUAAAAGAUGGUUUUGCUAUCACUUAUAGAUGGACCCGCGCCGUAUUAGCUAGUUGGUAAGGUAACGGCUUACCAAGGCAACGGUACGUAGCCGACCUGAGAGGGUGAUCGGCCACACUGGAACUGAGGCACGGUCCAGACUCCUACGGGAGGCAGCAGUAGGGAAUCUUCCGCAAUGGACGAAAGUCUGACGGAGCAACGCCGCGUGAGUGAUGAAGGUUUUCGGAUCGUAAAACUCUGUUAUUAGGGAAGAACAAAUGUGUAAGUAACUGUGCACAUCUUGACGGUACCUAAUCAGAAAGCCACGGCUAACUACGUGCCAGCCGCCGCGGUAA
rnacentral:rRNA from 1 species